GGAGCACGAAGGUUGGCUAAGCAUGGUCGGACAUCAUGCGGUUAGUGCAAAGGCAUAAGCCAGCUUGACUGUGAGAGUGACGGCUCGAGCAGGUACGAAAGUAGGUCUUAGUGGAUCCGGUGGUUCUGAAUGGAAGGGCCAUCGCUGCAACGGAUAAAAGGUACUCCGGGGAUAACAGGCUGAUACCGCCCAAGAGUUCAUAUCGACGGCGGUGUUUGGCACCUCGAUGUCGGCUCA
rnacentral:rRNA from 1 species